rnacentral:rRNA from 1 species
UACGUGGGGCGCAAGCGUUAUCCGGAAUUAUUGGGCGUAAAGAGCUCGUAGGCGGUUUGUCGCGUCUGCCGUGAAAGUCCGGGGCUCAACUCCGGAUCUGCGGUGGGUACGGGCAGACUAGAGUGAUGUAGGGGAGACUGGAAUUCCUGGUGUAGCGGUGGAAUGCGCAGAUAUCAGGAGGAACACCGAUGGCGAAGGCAGGUCUCUGGACCAUUACUGACGCUGAGGAGCGAAAGCAUGGGGAGCGAACAGG